AUGGACUCUGAAGAAGAUUCAUCGGUACAACACGUUAAUGUUGAACAGAACACUACGAAGGGCACUAAAAAGUAUAGGACUAGGAACACAUGUCGCGUUGUACAUUCUGAUGAAGAAUCAGAAGAGGAUAGGCAGGAGAAAGAUGAAUGCAAAUUCAAGGAAUCUAGCCCCAAAAGAAAGCGUACAAUAAGCAUUACUGAAGACGAAGAUUCUGAAAAAGAUGGAACUGAGAAUUAUUCAAAGACCAGCAUAAGGCUUACUGGUGUUGAUAAGGGAUCUAAGAAGAAAGGAAUUCAGAAUGAUAACCAUGAGCAAGUGAACAAAUUAUCACUUUCAAAAAAUAUAAAGCAAGAAUCAGAGGAUGAUGAACUCACUAUUGACCAGACUAAAAGGGGUAGGAGACGGAGCACAAGUCGUGCUGCACAUCUUGACGAUGAAUCAAAAGCUGAAGGUAGUCAGGAAAUAAACAAAUCCAAAUCUACGGAAUCAAGCCCCAAGAGGAAGCGUGUUGUACGCAAAUGCGCCAGUGUUGAUUAG
rnacentral:rRNA from 1 species